rnacentral:sRNA from 1 species
GCCGGGCACGGUGGCUCGUGUCUGUCAUCCCAGCGGCUCGGGAGGCUGAGGCAGGAGGACUGCAAGUUCAAAGCCAGCCACUGAGAGGCCCUAAGCCACUCAGUGAGACCCUGUCUCUA